CCUACGGGAGGCAGCAGUGAGGAAUAUUGGUCAAUGGGCGCGAGCCUGAACCAGCCAAGUAGCGUGAAGGAUGACUGCCCUACGGGUUGUAAACUUCUUUUAUAAAGGAAUAAAGUGAGGCACGAGUGCCUUUUUGCAUGUACUUUAUGAAUAAGGAUCGGCUAAAUCCGUGCCAGCAGCCGCGGUAAUACGGAGGAUCCGAUCGUUAUCCGGAUUUAGUGGGUUUAAAGGGAGCGUAGAUGGGUUGUUAAGUCAGUUGUGAAAGUUUGCGGCUCAACCGUAAAAUUGCAAGUGAUACUGGCAGUCUUGAGUACAGUUGAGGUAGGCGGAAUUCGUGGUGUAGCGGUGAAAUGCUUAGAUAUCACGAAGAACUCCGAUUGCGAAGGCAGCUUACUAAACUGCCACUGACAUUGAUGCUCGAAAGUGUGGGUAUCAAACAGGAUUAGAUACCCCUGUAGUC
rnacentral:rRNA from 1 species